rnacentral:rRNA from 1 species
AGGAUUAACGCUGGCGGCGUGCCUAACACAUGCAAGUCGAACGAGGUAGCAAUACCUAGUGGCAGACGGGUGAGUAGCGCGUGGUCAACCUACCGUUGAGUGGGGGAUAACUAGCCGAAAGGUUAGCUAAUACCGCAUACGUCUCCGAGGGGCAUCCCUUGGUGAUAAAAGGAGCAAUCCGCUCGAUGACGGGACCGCGUCCCAUUAGCUAGUUGGUGGGGUAACGGCCUACCAAGGCAUCGAUGGGUAGCUGGUUUGAGAGAGCGACCAGCCACACUGGGACUGAGAUACGGCCCAGACUCCUACGGGAGGCAGCAGUGAGGAAUUUUCCGCAAUGGGCGAAAGCCUGACGGAGCGACGCCGCGUGUGGGAAGAAGGCCUUCGGGUCGUAAACCACUGUCGAAGGGGAGAUAAUGACGGUACCUUGGAGGAAGCCCCGGCUAACUACGUGCCAGCAGCCGC